ACUGCCUAUAAAGCGGGUGGUUGUGGCCCGCGCUUUCUCUUUUGGAUUCUGCUUUCGGUGGGCCUGUGUAAAGCUAUGCAAAAUCUCAAGGCUAUGCUGUCUGUAAAGGGUUUCACAAGUAAUUCUGUGCUCAUGGAACAAGGAUUGAUUCUAUAUUUGCAAAUAUGGAACCCUACCCAUCGAUGUGCUGGCCUUCAGGUUCUCUAAGAUGGAUCAGCUUUAGAUGAUCAAAUAUGUUUUAAUGACUAAGCUGUUUUCUGAAGAACCAUAAGAAAAGGACUUGGGGUGACACUGAAGAGCUUUUUAAGAGUAAAGCUACUGACAGUGGUUCUGAGGAUGGAAUUAUUAGUUUGAGCUGUUAGAAGUUGACUAUUCUACGUGACUUGAUCUCGUGAACAAGUGGCAGCUGGAUAGAAUAAUAGUUUGGACUUCACAAUAUAUUGGUAGUUAAUGAACUGACAUUUGGCUUUCAAGAUCUGAGAAGCUAUCCAGAAUUCACACAUUGUUCACACAUCAUGCUGAACCAAAGGAAUUACUACUUAGAGCACUGAUACCUCUGAGAAUUUCACAUCAAAAAUCCGUACAACGCUCUCAAUACCUCCCAGCAUGGCCAAAUUGCACUGGAUACCCAGUAAUGACCUCAGCAACAUCUACAUGUAGUUGAAGAUCCUCCAUGCAUAAAGGCAACACAGCAGAACUCCCAAAAUGUCAAGGCUGCAUCUGAUUGUCCAUAUUAUUAUAUGACAAUAGUAACAGGGCAUGAUGUCUUUUGAACAUAUUCUUUGCACAGACAAAACCUCAGAUUCCAUCUUGGUCACACACAUCAUUGGAACACAUUUCUGCCUUUGAAAAGAUUUGUAUGGUAUAAUGAAAAAGUGCCCUUGAUGCUUUCAACAGUUCACUUUUCUGCACAAAUAGUACAGAUAAUCUGUCCACUAGUGACAAAUUUAGAGUUUCUGCUGAAUAUGCUAACA